rnacentral:rRNA from 1 species
CUGGCUCAGGAUGAACGCUGGCGGCGUGCUUAAUACAUGCAAGUCGAACGAAGCGCUUGCAGCCGAUCCCUCGGGGUGAAGCAGUUUGUGACUUAGUGGCGGACGGGUGAGUAACGCGUGGGUAACCUGCCUCAUGGCAGGGGGAUAACAGUUAGAAAUGACUGCUAAUACCGCAUAAGCGCACGGCACCGCAUGGUGGAGUGUGAAAAGAUUUAUCGGCAUGAGAUGGACCCGCGUCUGAUUAGGUAGUUGGUGGGGUAACGGCCUACCAAGCCGACGAUCAGUAGCCGACUUGAGAGAGUGAUCGGCCACAUUGGGACUGAGACACGGCCCAGACUCCUACGGGAGGCAGCAGUAGGGAAUAUUGCACAAUGGGGGAAACCCUGAUGCCAGCGACGCCGCGUGAGUGAAGAAGUAUUUCGGUACGUAAAGCUCUAUCAGCAGGGAAGAUAAUGACGGUACCUGACUAAGAAGCCCCGGCUAACUACGUGCCAGCCGCGGC